UAUUUUGGUCCACAGAUUAGUUG
rnacentral:siRNA from 1 species